rnacentral:lncRNA from 1 species
GAGAGAGGAAACUAAAUUCAGAGGGGUAGUACCCACUUAAAGGCAUCCAUAUGAUGAGUGCUGGGGCCAGAAGAGACUGGAACCAAUGAGUCAUAGGGUCUCAGGGUCUUCAGACAUCAUAUGGGGCUGCUACAGGGAUCUUUUCAGAGCAUCCCCUUCAACAGAUGUUCCUCAGCCUCCAUGCUAACUCUCAAUGAUGGGGCACCUGACACAGGCAUUCCACUGCUUGCCCCUGGUGAUUUCCCUCAUUCUCACCUCUAAGUAACAUCCAAAAUAAAACCAGCCCAGCCUUGGGCCAUGAUAUCCUAACCCACAGCAUGUGCACAUGUACCCACAUCUGCAUAUCUGCUCUACCUCCAGAUCAAAAUAGCAACCAGGGAGAUUGGCAGAGCCUGGAGUACCAGGCUGUCUUCCCAGUUUGGGACUGGCUGAGGCACUGUGACUUCAGUGAGAGUCUGGGCCCAUCCUCAGUCUAGAAAAAGCUUAUGCAAGGAUGAGGGUAGCCUAGAGAAAGUCCAGAAAACCACACAAAUGACCACCUGUUGAUUCCAAGGCGGAGACAGAGCACUUUCUCCUUUUAAAAACAGUAUCCUCUCCUCUCACUCAAGCUUAGCCUGCUCAACUGAACAGCCAGGAAAAGCUGCUGGUGUUUGGUGAUUUGAAGGGAAGGGGGUCUGAACCUCAGAAGCUUGUCACUUACUGGGGACCCUGAUGAGUUUCUCUCUGUUGUCCUGCCUUAUCCCUAAUCUAGCUCCCUGAUCAUUUGAAUGUAACCCUAAUUGGACAAGAAUUUUCUCCCUUUCAGUAUGGACAAAAUCAACAACCAUGAAUCAGAGACUUUUAGAGGAUGGGUAGUGAAGUGGGGGAAGAACAGAACAUUGUAGAGUGAGGGGCAGAGAGGCAGGCAGUGGGCAUGGGUAGGUUCUGGUUUUGUGAUUAGUAAUAUUAUCUCUUUAAUUGAAAAAAAUAAACUCAUUUCAGAUUCGUA